GAGGUACAGCGAUCUCCUUCUAGAGUCAAUUUGAGGUGUGGUGCUUGCAUUUAGAAGGUUUUGCUGUGAAUAGACAACAUGGGGUCAAAAGAGCUCUCAUUAAACCCGAUUCCUUUUCCCCAUGACAAAACAGAGAAAACCGACUCGUAGUGUGUUAAAACAGUUCUAUUUCUUUAUUUAAUCAUCUUCCGGAAGAGAGAGACCUCUGCACAGCUCAGACGCCAGUUGCAAGAGCUCUCUAACAUUAGAAUCAUAAGCUGUCUUAUAUGGUGUUAUUUCGGUACUUUACACGUCACACAGUCUCACACAUUGCUUAUAUGGAAAGUUCCUCUUUUCUGUGUCUUGAUUUAUUAAUAUGCCUUGUGCACUACAACUUCCUGUUUUUCAGUCUGGCUGAGCACUUAUUUGUGAGUCAAAGGUGGCCUUGCUCUACAAGCCUUCAUUAUUAAAGUACAUAAAACAAUAUAAUGAGCAGAUACACAUUAAAAUAUUUCUUUUAUUCCUAACACUCUCUAUGCAGGUGAAACAAGCCAUGCUUAAGCUGCCAAAACAGAAAAAAACAAAAAGAAACGGCUACAAUAUUAGGAGUGGCAAAUUCUACACUUUGGUACUCCUGAGAGGCAGUGUGGGCAUGCCUGCCAGUGGCCCUGAGACUUAGUGUUUAUUGAUGAUGAUGUGACACAGGAUAGGACAGAAGCAGCUAAAUUAAUUAUGAGGUGUUCAGAGACAUACUAUCUGCUCAAAUCCAAAUCUCACUGCAUCUGAGAUGUUUCAUUUAAAAUUCAUUGUUGUAAUGUACAGAACAAAAUUAGAAAAAAAUUGUCUCUGUCCAAAUAUUUAUGUACCUAACUUUAACUCUCUCACCUCCUCCACUACAGGCCUAUCUCCCUUUGAAGGAUUUCUAGGGUACCAGCCACCACUCUUCCAAUCCAUCUAAGCCAGGGGUGGGCAAUUCCAGGCCCCGAGGGCCGGUGUCCCUGCAGGUUUUAGAUCUCACCUUGGGUCAACACACCUGAAUCACAUGAUUAGUUCGUUACCAGGCCUCUGGAGAACAUCAGGACAUGUUGAGGAGAUAAUUUAGCCAUUUAAAUCAGCUGUGUUGGUUCAAGGACACAUGUAAAACCUGCAGGGACACCGGCCCUCGGUGCCCACCCCUGAUCUAAGCCAACCUCACCAUGCCAUCCAUUCAGCAUCAUGUACAACGGAGCUGGCGGAUUAGGUCCUCUGCCCUGGACUACGAGCCUGGGAAAAAGGCUCUCUGAUGGGUGAUCCAGUGGUGAUGGUGAGUCUGUACCCUGAGUUCCCCCAGUCUGUGAUGUGUUCAAUGGCUUCAUGUGGAGAGUUUGUGUUGGUAGUGAAUAAUUCUGAAAAUGACACUCCUCUGCUCCUGUUGGAGAGUUUACCGAUGGGUUGCUAUUCAAACAUUUACAGUUUGGGGUCUAGUUAUGAACACAUCUUCCCGUGACUUGUAUUCAUGUGAUCUCAGUGACUUACAGUGAUAUCACUGUAAAUGUGUAAUAACAAAUUUCCCAUGUGUGGGACUAAUAAAGGUUAUCUUAUCUUAUCUUAUCUUAUCUGAUCUUAUAAGAUGUCGUCCCUGUUGUUAAACACCAUGUUGCCUUUGGAUGAUUCUGCAAAACUCCAGGUUAUGUUUGAUCUCACUUGU
ensembl:lncRNA